rnacentral:lncRNA from 1 species
CCAGUUCUUACAGGAACUAGUGGUGAUAAAUGUGGGACUUCUCAGAAGUCAUUCAUUUUCUUCUUUGUGCCACAGCAGUGUGCAGUCUCAGCUGCGCUGGCCUCACCCUCCUGAGAUAGCAGUGGCUCUGGGCUCACUCUCCUACUUUCUCCCAAAUGCAUUAAUGUUGGCGUUGCCUCUACUCUAAAGAGCUCAGGAGGGAUUUUAUCACUAACCAAGUGUCACAGGAUUGCUGCAUCUCUGAUUGUUGAAUUUUGCCCUUUUUAUGCAGUCUUUGCUCCCCCCCCCCUUUUUUUUUAAAUCUGAAGGGUAAGUAGAUUUCCUUUAACGUUUAUUUCUCUUGGUUUUCUUCCCAAAUGUGUCUUUCCUUUGGUACCUGCUUCCAGGGCUGUACCCGGCAUAGGUCCGUCUCUGCAGAAGCCUUUUCAGGAAUACCUGGAGGCCCAGCGGCAGAAGCUCCACCAUAGAAGCGAAGCAGGCACAGCGCAGGGAGAAAACUGGUUAUCCUGGACGUUUGAGAAGCUGGUCGUUGCCAUGGUGUGUUACUUUAUCCUGUCUAUCAUUAACUCCAUGGCACAAAGCUAUGCCAAACGAAUCCAGCAGCGCUUGAACUCAGAGGAGAAGACUAAAUAAGCAGAGAGUUUUUAUCUGCAGAAGUUAGCGUGGUGGAGCCUGCCUUACAUCGGGAGGGCUCUCACCAGGAAGGAAGAUCCCCAUUUCCAACCUGUACUGAUUUUUAAAACAUUUCUCCCUGAAAGCAGUUUAGUCCACAUUUUACACUGACAUACUUUUGCUUUCUUUGUUAAGGUAAGGUCUCCACCCUCGAUUCAAUCCACAUUGUAUUCCUUAGGGUGGAUAUGAUGUUCUGCUGCAAACUUAACAAAACUGGCCUUCUGAC